rfam:Triticum aestivum genome assembly, contig: Triticum_aestivum_CS42_TGACv1_scaffold_526599_6DL
CAUGUACUCCCUCCGUUCCAAAAUAGAUGACUCAACUUUGUACUAACUAUUAGUUAGUACAAAGUUGAGUCAUCUAUUUUGGAACGGAGGGAGUAUAAA